AUUUGCCGAAGGUUCUGAUACC
rnacentral:miRNA from 1 species